ACGUUUGUGGCCCUUUGUGUUCUGGCUGUUUAAGCUUACCAGUUGCUAGAGAAAGCCAGAAUGCAAUCAAUAAAAGGAUGGGAAGAAAAGCUGAUUUGGCUUUAGAGAGCAGCUUUGAUCUUCUACAGUCACUAGAUUCCAGGUUGGAAAAUCUGGUUAAAGUACAACUGGAAAACAAUGAGGUAGGAGCUCAAACUGCACUCGGUCUAGUCACCGACGCCGCCAGCAACCAGACUGUGUCCGACGCCGCCAGCAACCAGACUGUGUCCGACGCCGCCAGCAACCAGACU